CACCAGCUGCUGCAGCUUCUUCUUCUUCUUCUGUUUGAAUUGAGGUGGUUGAUCUACAACGUUCAGGUUUAUUAGCGCCCCUACUGGACUGCAGUAACACUUCAUCAGGGCAACCACCAACAAACUGGUCUGCCAUGAGUUAGAAGCUGCUGAAACAUGGCUGACACUGUCCACAAUCAAGCAAGCUUUACAUCAUCAUGGACUCAGAUGUUAUUAGGUUCUUCCUUCUUUACAGGCUUCAUCUGGAAACCUCCACACUGUUGGUCCACUGGAGAGAAGAGUUCCAUGACUUGUUCCACAGGGAUUGAAGAUACUUCACCUGAAAUUCCAUCAACAUGUGAAGAAGAAACUCAACAACUGGAGGAAAUGUAAAAUUAAGAAAUCAUCGUCCUCAUCUUCAUCUUCUUCCUUUUUUAUUGGUUUCUUCUGGAAUCCUUCAUGUUGUAGAUCCUCCGGGGUGACGUGUCCCUCUUCUGCUGA